UAUUUUGAAUUGGGAAUUUGCUUCAUAUUACCGAUUUUAUAUAUAUAUAUAUAUGGGUCAUGAGAGUGAUUGACUAAUUCAAGCUAUGAAACAGGUAAUUCUGGGUCAUCAAAAAUUCUUUAUGAAAUAAUCAAGUCUAAAAGCAAACUCUAUGCUGCAUUGGAUAGGGUCAAGGACCCAAGCCAUUCCCAACCCAACAUUGUACCUGUGGCAGUAAAAGUUGGACAUUGCUCUGAAACCACAGUCGAUCAAGAGCAAGAGGUAAGCACUGCUGUUGUUAGGGAUGCUGCACCAGUGAGUGCAAACAUUGUACCUGUGGCAGUAAAAGUUGGACAUUGCUCUGAAACCACAGUCGAUCAAGAGCAAGAGGUAAGCACUGCUGUUGUUAGGGAUGCUGUACCAGUGAGUGCAAUUCCACCUGCAGCUUCAGGAAUGCAUCCUUCCCACCAUGACUCCAAGAG
rnacentral:lncRNA from 1 species